rnacentral:rRNA from 1 species
GACGAACGCUGGCGGCGUGCUUAACACAUGCAAGUCGAACGGAAAGGCCCUGCUUGCAGGGUACUCGAGUGGCGAACGGGUGAGUGACACGUGGGUGAUCUGCCCUGCACUUCGGGAUAAGCCUGUGAAACUGGGUCUAAUACCGGAUAGAAGCCAUUUUUAGUGUGAUGGUUGGAAAGUUUUUUCGGUUGAGGCUGAGCUGGCGGCCUAUCAGCUUGCUGGUGGGGUAAUGGCCUACCAAGGCGGCGACGGGUAGCCGGCCUGCGUGGGUGGACCGCCAUCUUGGGACUGAGAGACGGCCCAGACACCGACGGGAGGGAGCAGGGGGGAAGAUUGACGAAGGGGCGCAAGCCUGAUGCAGCGACGCCGCGGGGGGGAUGACGGCCUUCGGGUUGUAAACUCUUUUCGCUAGGGACGGAGCUUUUUGUGACGGUACCUAGAUAAGAAGCACCGGCUAACUACGUG